GAACGCGCAGUCUGUAGCAAUACAGGCGGGCGCGUGGCGAACGGGUGCGUAACACGUGGAUAACCUUCCUUCAGGUGGGGAAUAACCCAGUGAAAAUUGGGCUAAUACCGCAUAACAAGACGAUGGCACAUGCCGUUGUCUUCAAAGGCGCAAGUCGCCAGAAGAGGGAUCCGCGGCCGAUUAGCUUGUUGGCGGGGUAAUGGCCCACCAAGGCAAUGAUCGGUAGCCGGACUGAGAGGUUGGCCGGCCACACUGGAACUGAGACACGGUCCAGACUCCUACGGGAGGCAGCAGUGGGGAAUCUUGCACAAUGGGCGAAAGCCUGAUGCAGCAACGCCGCGUGGGGGAUGAAGCUUCUCGGAGUGUAAACCCCUUUCGACCCGGAAGAAAGCCCGCAAGGGUUUGACGGUACGGGUAUAAGAAGCCCCGGCUAACUACGUG
rnacentral:rRNA from 1 species